rnacentral:piRNA from 1 species
UUUAUUUUUCGGACAGGGUCUCAUGUAGC